CAUUACCGAGUGCGGGUCCUUUGGGCCCAACCUCCCAUCCGUGUCUAUUAUACCCUGUUGCUUCGGCGGGCCCGCCGCUUGUCGGCCGCCGGGGGGGCGCCUUUGCCCCCCGGGCCCGUGCCCGCCGGAGACCCCAACACGAACACUGUCUGAAAGCGUGCAGUCUGAGUUGAUUGAAUGCAAUCAGUUAAAACUUUCAACAAUGGAUCUCUUGGUUCCGGCAUCGAUGAAGAACGCAGCGAAAUGCGAUAACUAAUGUGAAUUGCAGAAUUCAGUGAAUCAUCGAGUCUUUGAACGCACAUUGCGCCCCCUGGUAUUCCGGGGGGCAUGCCUGUCCGAGCGUCAUUGCUGCCCUCAAGCCCGGCUUGUGUGUUGGGUCGCCGUCCCCCUCUCCGGGGGGACGGGCCCGAAAGGCAGCGGCGGCACCGCGUCCGAUCCUCGAGCGUAUGGGGCUUUGUCACAUGCUCUGUAGGAUUGGCCGGCGCCUGCCGACGUUUUCCAACCAUUUUUUCCAGGUUGACCUCGGAUCAGGUAGGGAUACCCGCUGAACUUAAGCAUAUCAAUAAGCGGAGGAAAAGAAACCAACCGGGAUUGCCUCAGUAACGGCGAGUGAAGCGGCAAGAGCUCAAAUUUGAAAGCUGGCUCCUUCGGAGUCCGCAUUGUAAUUUGCAGAGGAUGCUUUGGGUGCGGCCCCCGUCUAAGUGCCCUGGAACGGGCCGUCAGAGAGGGUGAG
rnacentral:rRNA from 1 species